GACGAACGCUGGCGGCGUGCUUAACACAUGCAAGUCGAACGGUAAGGCCCUUCGGGGUACACGAGUGGCGAACGGGUGAGUAACACGUGGGUGAUCUGCCCUGCACUUCGGGAUAAGCCUGGGAAACUGGGUCUAAUACCGGAUAGGACCACUGCCUGCAUGGGUGGUGGUGGAAAGCUUUUGCGGUGUGGGAUGGGCCCGCGGCCUAUCAGCUUGUUGGUGGGGUGAUGGCCUACCAAGGCGAGGACGGGUAGCUGGCCGGAGAGGGUGGCCGGCCACACUGGGACUGAGAUACGGCCCAGACUCCUACGGGAGGCAGCAGUGGGGAAUAUUGCACAAUGGGCGCAAGCCUGAUGCAGCGACGCCGCGUGAGGGAUGACGGCCUUCGGGUUGUAAACCUCUUUCAGCACCGACGAAGCGCAAGUGACGGUAGGUGCAGAAGAAGGACCGGCCAACUACGUGCCAGCCGCCGCCGUAA
rnacentral:rRNA from 1 species